rnacentral:piRNA from 1 species
UCAGAAGUUCAUUGCCUACUCCCACAAGC